GACGAACGCUGGCGGCGUGCUUAACACAUGCAAGUCGAACGGUGAACGAGGGAGCUUGCUCCCUCCGGAUCAGUGGCGAACGGGUGAGUAACACGUGAGCAAUCUGCCCCGAACUCUGGGAUAAGCGUUGGAAACGACGUCUAAUACCGGAUACGACGCGGGAGGGCAUCCUCUCCGCGUGGAAAGAACUUCGGUUCGGGAUGAGCUCGCGGCCUAUCAGCUUGUUGGUGGGGUAACGGCUCACCAAGGCGACGACGGGUAGCCGGCCUGAGAGGGUGACCGGCCACACUGGGACUGAGACACGGCCCAGACUCCUACGGGAGGCAGCAGGGGGGAAUAUUGCACAAUGGGCGCAAGCCUGAUGCAGCAACGCCGCGUGAGGGACGACGGCCUUCGGGGUGUAAACCUCUUUUAGCAGGGAAGAAGCGAAAGUGACGGUACCUGCAGAAAAAGCACCGGCUAACUACGUG
rnacentral:rRNA from 1 species